rnacentral:rRNA from 2 species
GAACUGAAGAGUUUGAUCAUGGCUCAGAUUGAACGCUGGCGGCAGGCCUAACACAUGCAAGUCGAGCGGAUGAUUGGAGCUUGCUCCAUGAUUCAGCGGCGGACGGGUGAGUAAUGCCUAGGAAUCUGCCUGGUAGUGGGGGACAACGUUUCGAAAGGAACGCUAAUACCGCAUACGUCCUACGGGAGAAAGUGGGGGAUCUUCGGACCUCGCGCUAUCAGAUGAGCCUAGGUCGGAUUAGCUAGUUGGUGAGGUAAAGGCUCACCAAGGCGACGAUCCGUAACUGGUCUGAGAGGAUGAUCAGUCACACUGGAACUGAGACACGGUCCAGACUCCUACGGGAGGCAGCAG